UACGUAGGGGGCAAGCGUUGUCCGGAAUCAUUGGGCGUAAAGAGCGCGUAGGCGGCCAGAUAAGUCCGCUGUGAAAUCUCGAGGCUCAACUUCGAGCUGUCGGUGGAAACUGUCUGGCUAGAGUCCGGAAGAGGAGAGUGGAAUUCCUGGUGUAGCGGUGAAAUGCGCAGAUAUCGGGAAGAACACCCGUGGCGAAGGCGGCUCUCUGGGACGGUACUGACGCUGAGACGCGAAAGCGUGGGGAGCGAACAGG
rnacentral:rRNA from 1 species